rnacentral:rRNA from 1 species
GACGAACGCUGGCGGCGCGCCUAACACAUGCAAGUCGAACGAGCGAGAGAGAGCUUGCUUUCUCGAGCGAGUGGCGAACGGGUGAGUAACGCGUGAGGAACCUGCCUCAAAGAGGGGGACAACAGUUGGAAACGACUGCUAAUACCGCAUAAGCCCACGGGUCGGCAUCGACCAGAGGGAGGAAGGAGCAAUCCGCUUUGAGAUGGCCUCGCGUCCGAUUAGCUAGUUGGUGAGGUAACGGCCCACCAAGGCAACGAUCGGUAGCCGGACUGAGAGGUUGAACGGCCACAUUGGGACUGAGACACGGCCCAGACUCCUACGGGAGGCAGCAGUGGGGAAUAUUGCACAAUGGGGGAAACCCUGAUGCAGCGACGCCGCGUGGAGGAAGAAGGUCUUCGGAUUGUAAACUCCUGUU